UACAAUGGCCGGUACAAAGAGAAGCGAGGCUGUGAAGCGGAGCAAAUCUCAAAAACCGGUCCCAGUUCGGAUUGUAGGCUGCAACUCGCCUACAUGAAGUCGGAGUUGCUAGUAAUCGCGGAUCAGAAUGCCGCGGUGAAUGCGUUCCCGGGUCUUGUACACACCGCCCGUCACACCAUGGAAGUUGGGGGCGCCCGAAGUUGCCUAAGAAAUAAGGUACCUAAGGCGAAACCAAUGACUGGGGUGAAGUCGUAACAAGGUAUC
rnacentral:rRNA from 1 species